UUGAACGCUGGCGGCAGGCCUAACCCAUGCCAGUCGCACGGUAACAGGAAGAAGCUUGCUUCUUUGCUGACGAGUGGCGGACGGGUGAGUAAUGUCUGGGAAACUGCCUGAUGGAGGGGGAUAACUACUGGAAACGGUAGCUAAUACCGCAUAACGUCGCAAGACCAAAGAGGGGGACCUUCGGGCCUCUUGCCAUCGGAUGUGCCCAGAUGGGAUUAGCUAGUAGGUGGGGUAACGGCUCACCUAGGCGACGAUCCCUAGCUGGUCUGAGAGGAUGACCAGCCACACUGGAACUGAGACACGGUCCAGACUCCUACGGGAGGCAGCAGUGGGGAAUAUUGCACAAUGGGCGCAAGCCUGAUGCAGCCAUGCCGCGUGUAUGAAGAAGGCCUUCGGGUUGUAAAGUACUUUCAGCGGGGAGGAAGGGAGUAAAGUUAAUACCUUUACUCAUUGACGUUACCCGCAGAAGAAGCACCGGCUAACUCCGUG
rnacentral:rRNA from 1 species